rnacentral:rRNA from 1 species
AUACGGAGGGUGCGAGCGUUACUCGGAAUCACUGGGCGUAAAGCGCGCGCAGGCGGCUUGAUAAGUUGGAUGUGAAAGCCUACGGCUCAACCGUAGAACUGCAUCCAAAACUGUCAAGCUAGAGUCUGGGAGGGGAAGAUGGAAUUAGUUGUGUAGGGGUAAAAUCCGUAGAGAUAACUAGGAAUACCAAAAGCGAAGGCGAUCUUCUGGAACAGUUCUGACGCUGAGGCGCGAAAGCGUGGGGAGCAAACAGGAUUAGAAACCCGAGUAGUCC